UUUUCAAACACCUCCGCAACUUGGAUGGAUGUAGAGCGCAACACGCAUUAAACUGUUCUUCUUGGAGUUCGCUUAAGAGUGCUGCCAACUUGUAAACAGUAGAGUCAGUUUGCUGCCAACAUAAUUUUGACCUAGAGCAAACGGAAGUGCUUUUCCAAGAAUCUCGAAGGCUGUUGAGUCACGCUGUAUGCUGGCACUGGACCACGUAACCCAAGAGGGGAAAACAAACACAAGAGAAGAAACCACUCCUAGCAGAGGUUAAAGGGGGACAGAUGACUGUUUUCAAAUUAUUCGGGGACAUUUCCAGGAAAGAGGUGGUGGUGCAAGAGACUCUUUCCGAAGAGCUAUUCGCCACAGGGGAACAAAAUCGCAUUCGUAUUUUCAUCGUUGUGGUUGUGUCAGGUCAGCAACAUCAGAGUAUGAAGAGCUUUCGAUCGCCUCUGAAAAUGGACAACAGGUUUUUUUCAGGGACUCAAAGAGUUUAAUUCAAAAAUAUUCCCCACAAACACUGCUCUGAACUCUUUAUUGGACAAAAGGAAAGGUUUCACAGGGUCAGACAAAACUCAGACGGGCCAGUGGCAUACUGACAGCACGUGGAAAGACUAAAAUAAGCAUGAUGAUUUUAGUCCUGUAUGACAGUAUCUUCUUGUGGCACAUUGAAGACUGGAUCCAUGUACAAUGAAUGCUUCUUUUAUUUAAAAGAAUAAAGAAAAGCUA